GUUGAAAUAGCGGUUCCCGUCUCUCACCGAAAUUAAGCAACGUCAGGCCUGGUCAGUACCUCGAUGGGUGAUCGCUUGGGAAUACCAUGUGCUGUAAG